CCAUGGUAUCUUUCUUUCCAUUAAUAUUUUACAGUAUACUGCUUGUCCAGAAAGGUGAUAUAAAUGCAGUUUUCAUCUUCCAGCUAAAAGCAGAAGACAUAAUUACCAAUUGUAUCUGCCUGUUAUUCUGUUACUAAUGAGACCACAGGUUUCCAUUUCCUACUGGUUAUUUGCAAGUCAAGCUAAUCAAGGUGGUCCUCAGGAAAAAAAUCUUCUUGCUACCACUUAACUCACCCUACUUCUCUGAAAGUGCUUGUUUUGACUGUUUAACUAGCAUUUAGGAAGUCUUUCUCUGUUUCCAGGUUUUGUUUUCUCGGAUUUCAUUUUCGUAAGCUUUAUAGGAUGAGUGAAUACCUAUAACACUCCCAUAUAGAGUCUUCUUUCUUCCACGUUUCCAGCAUCUGAUGUUUCUACUUAGGAUGUUUUCUCUGUAGACAGUGAAUGGUCUUGCAAUGUAUAAGACCAGGAAUUGCCAAGGCAGCAGCUGACCCAAAGAAUGUUUCUUGCAUGUAUGACUUAAGGAGAGCUGAGCAGUUGGAGAAGUUGACCCCUGAUUGCGCUUUUGUGCUCAUGAAGCCAUAGCUACUGGAUGGGAUUAGGAGGACAUGCAUGUCUCUCCAGCCUACUAUUUGUACUUAUGUUAGGACAUACGAUCACAAAAAUCUGAUCCCAAAACUAACUAAACAGAAAUUGUCAUGUAGUUGCUGUCUCGUAUUUAAUGGCCUGCUGUACACGUAAUGUCUGGUACUUUUGGUAAGGAAUCUUGAGUGGUGAUUUCAGUGCUUAGAGACGGGGGUGACAGACACACAAAGGAACAGCGAACCUUGCAAUUGACAAAGCAGCAAUAUAAUGAGCAGUAUGUAAGUAAGGGAUAAUUACAAAGCAUCUGGAGUCCAUUCUAUACUGGAAACUAAUAAAAAAUGUGGUUAAUAAACACCAAGUUCCCUUUGAGAGAAGGAAAUACCAAGAUGCUUACUGAAAGUGAAAAGUGGUGGACUGACAAGAAGAGAAUAUGUAGGGGCCACCAUGAUAACCUCUUUGAGACCUGAAUCUCUGCCAUGGGAUACCUAACAUAUCAUAAAGAGGUGUGAAUGCAAAUAUCCAUUGAAAUGAGGGAGGAUAUGAAUUUGAGCACAGUGAAAUAAUCUGGAUCAGCUUCUAAAAUUUUUCAGGGUUUUUUGCAGCCAGUGAAGUGAGUGCAUGGAGGCAGACUUCAGUGUAGUCAAGGUUUCUCAGAUAAAGAAAAUGUGCUAUUCUUUUCAAACAGCGGAGAAGGUCAGCUAAGACUUGAUCACAUAACCUAGCCCUUUGGUCAUGAAAGGGUUUUUCCUGCUAGAAUGGAAAAUAAAGGAAGACUUUGUAAUAGGAAAUUACCUUCAACAGCAUCUGGCACAUCUCUGGGACACAGUGACUUCUUUAAGGUGCUGAGAACAAGCUUUGGUUUCAUUGAUAUUUAGAAACCAAAACUGAGUAAAUACUCAAGUAACAAAUUCUAGCCAUGGACACUAUUACAAUGUAUAACCUCACUGGAUCUGAAAUGAAGACAACCAAUGGUUCUGGGCUGCAAAUGUAAGAUCCCUGUCUGAAACUUUUUCUCAUUGUUGGUACCAGUUAAUCUCACUUGCCAUUCACCUUACCUUUAAAAACAAGAAAAAGUUUACUCAUGAAAUUUGUUUUUAUUUUUGACAGGUAAAUUCUGCAACCUUAGCUUUAUUGUUUGGCAUUAAAAUGCUAAACUACAUCAGCAGAGUAGAAAGAUUGCUUUAAUGCACUGACUUUGCAGGAGAAAAAUAAAAAGGAUCGUGGGUCAGAACAGAGGUGGGCAUUUUAUCCUACCUGUACAGAUCUAUAAUCUGCAGAAACUGUGGAUGGUUCACUCAGCUCCUGCAGGAUUUAAAGGGACUGCAUGACGCAGCCAUAUAUAACUACUGACUUUUGUAUUAUGGUAUGCUAGUGUAGAUGUGCUGGCUAGCAUGAAAGAUGCCAUGACAAGCCAUUAUUGAUACUGUGGUAGCUGUCAAAUUCUGUAUGUGAAAGGAAAAACAUAGUCCACGCUAGCCUAAAUGAAGCGUGUAUAAACGGCAUGCUCUAUCCUCAGAACAUCUUUAGGUGUCCAGAAUUAUUAAUACUUAUUUUUUAAAAAAUUCAACGUUUUAGAUUCUCUCAUAAUUUGUUCUAAGCAUCUCAGUUCCAGAAAGGAGUAAAUUUUCACAAAUAUUUACAAGAUAUUACUAAAUAGGUUCAGAACAGGGCAACAAUUGCUUAAAAUGGUGGACAAAUUAAGGAAUAUAUAUUUGGACAUUUGAGUGGAUCCAUGCUAAUUAUUAUUUGCUGAGUGUUUGUCUGUGCCCCAAGUAAAGUAAAUCUUGUUUCCCCUUUUUUAAAAAGUUGUGCCUCAACAAAGGAAAAAAAAUACAUUGUCAGCCUUUGCUUGAAAAAGAAGUAGGAAGCUCUAUGGAUAAAGGAACAUAAGCAUAUGUAAGAGAAGGAGGAAAUGAGAGUUUAGAAGCAAAGAGCUGACAGCAGAGAUUUAUCCAAACCCUUUGUGUGACCUCCAGAGAGAUCUCCGCGAACAACAUGCAAUGUCUCACUGCUGUGUGGCCUGCAAACUCCAGGAAUAUUUAAUUGCAGCAAUGUGAUUUCAGAGGAAAGGUUAUGGAAGGGGCUUUCAAGGGAAAGUUUACUAUAUUCCCCUCUCACUAACAACUUUAUCUUGCAGGCUAAAGAUGGAACGUGCGUAUAACAAAGACACAAGGCACAUUGUCUGCAAGCUCUGUUCUGUCACUUAAUCAAUUUGUUAUGAUGAAAUGCCAAUGAGUCAAGAUGAAAAACUUCGUCACUGGGGACUGAAGUACUUGCUUUAGAGAGUUUGGGGUCAGCAAGUCACCAGAUCACCUGCUGUCGCCUGCUCUUGUAUGGACUCCAAUCCUGUGCACUUUGCUGAAGCAUAUCUUCUGGCAGAACAACAGGUUAUGAUUCAGAAGGCAUCAAGAGAUGCCUGCAACCCACUAAAACAAUCAAGACCACCCAGAAGCCUUCCUGAGCUUGCAUCUUCUAAAAGAUCAUCUGGAGGUAAAACCUCCGUGAAUACAUUUCUCAUUCUCCCCUGUGGAAGUCUACAAGAUUCGCUUUAUGUUUCCAGUCUGGAAGUUUGUGCCUCAUGAUCACCUGCCUCUACAGUUUCCAGUCCACCGUGUUACAUGUGUAAGCAAGGCAUGGGGCCAUGACCAGAACAUUAUUGAGCUUUUUACUUGUAACAGACAAGCAAUGCAAUGGCUACUGACUGCAUUAACUUGCCAAACUUACCAACGUUUAGCAUAUAUAAAGGUUGUUAGCUGCUGAAAUGGCCUAAUUUUUUUUUUUUGGGGGGGGGGUUGGGCGAGGGAAGCAGUUAUGAGUCACGUGAGAGGUCAGAUAGAAUUGUGAAAUAUGGGCUGAACGUUCCACAAAAAAAAGGCCGAGAUCAUUCACUUACUGUAACUCACUUGGCCAUUUGUCUUGACCAUUUUGUUACUGUUACACCAAAAAGGUGGCUUUUUACUCUUCUCUGUAACUAUCUUUUGCAAAAGGAUGGUGAAGCUUUAGGCAGUUAGCCUGACUACAUAGCCAUUGCCGUUACUGGAGGAGGUUGAAAAUUAAACAACUGUCAUAUCCAGACCUAUCACAAAAAUCAGACUGAUUAUAAUAUGGGUUUGCACUAGGCAGAUGGUAGCAAUGUUCUUAAUUGCAAGUUUUGAGGACUUUCUGUACCUCAGACUUAGCAUAUUCUGUCUAUAUAAGCAAAGAAACACCAACACAGGAAAGUAUUACCCUGCUGUAUUUUAUCAUGGAGGGAAUACAUUUGAUUUAAAAAAAAAAAAAAAAAAAAAAAAAAAAAAAAGACCCUAUAAAACUUUUGGCAGAGAUUUAAAUCUCUUUUUUUUUGUUGUUGUUUCAUUUUACUCUUUCUUUAGUGCCUGAUAUUAAAGGACCCAAAUUUGUUCCUGGGGGAAUUUAAUCACUUAUUCCAACAGGAACAAGAUGGUACCCUUAUUAUUUCUGACUUGGAUAACGUUCUGCCUCUGGGGAAGUUUUUUUUGUUGCUGAGUUAUUCUUUAAUGUGUUUAUUACCCUUAGAGUUUAAGACCUAAGCCUAUAAUCUCCAAAGUAAAGCAGCAGUUGUGACCCUAAGCAAAGGAGGUGCUGCAAUACUUCUAUUCAGUGUUACGAAAGCUGCUGAGUGCUGUGCUGUGCAGAGCGCUGCUGGUCUCCUACAGAGAGGGAUGCUGAGAAGAUGCAGUUCUGGAUGUUCCUGGGAGUUGUACAGAAUAACCAGGAGCAACAGGGAGCUGGACCAGAUUCGUGGUAUGGCUCUUCACACAUGCACACAUUGCUCCAAGCAGACAUAUUAUACAUAUGAACAUCUAGACUUACUAUGGGUGCUAAAACGCUAAAAGCAUUUAUCAACCUUGAUUCUUCUAUGAAACUUGCUACUUUGGCAUUUGAGCACUGCAUAAACUUAGUGUCCCCAGAGGAUGAUGUGUUUUCCUUUCAGUUAACUUUUGCCUAAGUUAGAGGUUUUCAGGCUGUAGGGGAAGAUGCUGAAGAGCUAGCCUGGCUUCCUGCAUAGUGCAAAACUGUAAACUUAUUUCAGCUACUUUGCUGAAGUAAAGGUCACAACUGGAAAGAAAGCUUCAAAGGACAAGAGCAGGAUAUGGGAGAUGAGUCAGUUUUAAAAGGAGUUACUAUGCAGCCUGCAGCUCCUAGUUCUGUGCUUCACAGCUGAGGCUGCACUGAAAUGUAGGUUGCUGGGCCAAAUACAAGGGAAGCAACUGGUGUGACAUGUUAGAGAAACCUGACAAACAAACUGAGCAUCAGAGAGAAACUCUAGACAGGGCAGGGUGGAGAGCGGGAAGUGAAACCCCCGUAGCCAGCGUUACUGUUCUCCUGCUGCUACUGGACUAAUGGGCAUCUGUCCUGCACGUAUGAAAACGUCGUAUAGUGUUUGGUGUCAGGGACAUCAAACCUCCUGCAUAUAAGGGGACAAACAUUUGAAAAACAGCUGGUGGGUCCUAGUGAAGCUUCUAGGAGAAGACAUGUAGCUGAGUUAAGUCAAGCUGCAUUAAGAUUUUUAUUUACAGCAAGCUAAAAUAUGAGGGUUUUGCUUGGAUUUGUAUUGAUCACAUUCGGGUUCCAAUUUUGACAUAAUUUGUAUCUACAGGAUAAUUGCAUUUUUCUGCUCUCUCUUUUCCAGGAAUAGAUUUAGCUACUUCAUCGGAGCAAACAAUGUUUCCUUUUGAAAUCUUAUGUAUUUUAAAUUAUAUCUAGAGAAUCCUGAAUUGAUUUCCUGUAUUUAACAUAGUUUUAAUAUUACUGAUCUACGGUAUCAGUGAAAGACUCUUCUGUUCUUAAACGGAAGUGGUCAAUCAACCUUAGGCAUUGAUUUUCAAAAUGAAUAUUUAAUUGACUUCCUAAUUCUACAUUUAAGCAAUAGACCCACAAAGUGUGUAUUUCUUUAUUAAGGAAUGGACUUUAGCAGUGAAUUAACUUGUCCACUAGAUGGUAAUGUUGUUUCAGAUGAUUUGUGUUGAAUUACUGCUUCUCUGCCAACAAGCGAUAAAGGAAGUUGAAGUCAUGAGAUUUAUCCAGGAAAUGAUCUUAGGAAUUCUGGAUGAUUUGGGGAAGAAAAAGUUUCAGUUUAUUAGAAAAUCAUUUUUGCUUUGAAAAAGUUUUGCUAAAAACUUGUGCUGUAAUCACUAGGAUCAUGGAUGUUUUAGUUCAUGAGAUAGCUUCAGCAAAAACAAUUAAUUUACUGAGAAUGCAGAAGACAAGCAGAAUGAUCUCUGCCUUACGCUCUUAUCCAUUGCUCAUCAUUGCAGCUAGCUGAAUGACUCAAAAUCCUUUAUUAGUUACUAGGCAUAAUUUUGCUGGGAAGUAGGGAAUUACUCUUAUCCCCUUUUAUUAAUGGGCAAUGGAGACAUUUCUGCAGUGGUACUUAGCAGCCAUGUCUCACUGAGUUCAAGGGAGUUAGCUCCUACCUAAUCAGAUGUGAAGCGCACAAAUAUCUUUGUGGGUCCUCUGAGUAGAUGGAGUAGGUCACACAGAAAAUUAAAACUGGGAAUCAUCUUAUUCCUGGGCUAGAAUUCUAAUCACGAAUUACUCACAUGAAGUAUACGUAAGGAAGAAUGAUAACAAAAUAUCUAGGCAUUCCUCUUUAUAGUAAUUUAAUUGGCCUAUUAUCCUAGGUACAAUUUCAGUCAAAUAAGCCUUACUAGCCCCAUCAGUGCAAUCCUUGGGGUAGAAUAGCAGUUGUUUCCUCUGUGCUCCUCAUCAUUCAUCUCCUGGGUCUCAGUAUGGCCAGGCUGCCACAUUCAGAGACUGGGAACCCCACGGUACCUGCAAUGCCAGGAGCCCGGGGCAGGCCCUCCAGCCGAGCACACCCACACCCGCAGGGCUCUGCUGGAGCUCUGCAAGGAACUGCUUUGCUGGGUGGCAAUACUGAGGAUUAUCACUGUCAUGAGGCUUCCAGUAAUGUUAGUCCACUGCAGCAAAAAUCAGAUCAGGGAACAAAUUUCUUUACUAUUCACAGUGAAUGUCGGCUGCAGAGUUGGGACCAAAGGAUAUCCUCUGCCACAGAAACAUGAUUUACCUUUAUUUGCAUUCAUCAAAACACAAACACCAUGAAAUGAAAAGGGUAUGAUGCUCUAUAAGGAAAAAUAUAGUUCCUCUAUGUGCUACAAACAAACAGCUGCAGGAUUAUUUCUAAGCAGUAUCUCAGGCCGGUGGAACUCUGGAAAAUGUUUCAAUGCAUCUUUAAAUAGCACGUAGCAUUAAAGCUAAAUAUGAUUUCCACCUUGGACCUUGACUUAAGGUUUUCAGCUUCUAGACCAGGUUUUAGCAUGAAAUUCAGUGGACUCUUUUACAUUAAACUGUACGUUAAUAUAUUGACAGUUCUAAACUGCUGUAUUAAAAACAGUAACCUAAAAUUACAUUAAUUUGUUCCUUAGAGGUAAUCCACAAAUGUUACAGAUUAAAAGCAGAAUUAUACUAUUUGCAAAUGAUAAUGUGCUCUCUGCUAGCAGUGGCUGAGAGGACAUCAUCACUGAAUUUAUAUCAAGUAAGAUAGAAAAACACUUGACUGUUCUCAAAACUACAGGUUACACUGCUUUCAAAACUGGAUACUCUGGUCAUAUGAGACUCAAUUAUAUAUCCUGUAAAGUUCAUCUAUGCUACUUUUAUUUUUAGUAAUUCAGUAUUUGAAAAAUACCUUUCACCUUUUGUUUUGGACAAUGGAUUAAGAAAAAUAGCACCAGGAAAAAUUCAAUACAGGUUUGUUUUAGAGUAAUGGUGCCUGAUUUUGAUAGUUUUCCAGUGUGAUUCUGUAAUUUGCUGUUAAAGGAUUAUUCAAGCCUUGGCUAUAGGUGUGGUUAUGGCUAUAAAUAUGGUCAUGUCAUUUAUAAGGAAGGACAUGAUUUGAAUUUAGAGCGGGAACUGUAAUUCUUCUGCUUAAAGUUUGGAUUAUCUUCCCUAUUCUGUACUUCUUGUGUACUUCAGCCUGAUGCAAACAUGGAUAACUGCCAUUUUUUUUCUUUAAAUCAAAGAAACAGAGGUUUAGCUCGCUUUCAGGAGAAGUACUGGUGUCAUACUUACAGAAGUGUUUGCAGGCCCUUCUAAGGGCCAUGUGCCUGUUGUCAAGUGCUGUACCUCUGGCUUAUCUAGAGAGGUAAGGUUUAUAAUGAGAGGUAAUAAUUUUAAUCAGAGCUAACACAUUUGAUGACCUUAACACAUGUGAUGACCUUUCAGGCUCAGAUUCUAUUCGUCUGCCUGGAUGGGAAGCUGCAAAAUCAGAACCGAAUAAAGUUUAGACAUAAUUGCUCUUAUCAACUGCAUAACACAUCAAUUACCGUGAAUCCUGUUGUUGACCUACACACUGAAGACACCUUUUUUGUGGCUGUAUCUAUGUCUGUCCUAAGUUGAUUAGCAAGCAUGCUCACCAAAAGGAUCUUAAUUAAAAGAAAAACGUAUUAAUUCUAAAGAUAGUAACCUGGGCUGUGCUUUCUUAAUCAAAAUUGCUACUGGUUCUACUGGGGUAUUGCUUCAGAAAAGAGUACGCACAGGACUGAAGGUUAAAGAACUACUCUACUUGAGAAGAAGGAUGUGUUCAUCCUGGCUUUUCAGGCUUCUUUUACUACACUAAAACUCGGAGACUGCAACAUGUACUCUGAUUUUAACAUGGUGCUGUGUCACAAACAGCUGCUCUUAUAAUUAGCAAGAGAAUUUAUGAUUGAUAUUAUAUUAUUAUGAUCUUUAAGACCAUUGUCUGGAUCUAGCUAUGUGGAGAGUUAAGGUCUUUGUGUCACAGAUCAGCUGAACACAGAAAGAGGCACAUGUUUCUCAUGCUCUCUGUAGAGAGAACUUUUAGAAAAAUCUCUGGGCAAACAAUCUUCUAAAAACAAAACAAAUUUCUGCUCGUCACUGGUGACACUCCCUGAACUUGAAUAACCUAGUAAUCUGUGAAGCAUGCUGAAUUUCACAUAAUGCGAAAGUCUGUCAGCCCGUCUGUAGGCCGAACAACAUAAUGUGCUUUUCACAGAGAAAAUAUGAAAGAUACCUUGAAAGCCUCUUUUUUUCUCUUGCUCUUUUUCCUAAUUUGCAUCUACUUUCCUACCUAGUUAUGAGAUGUCAGUAACUUCAAGAAGUGAGAACAGUAUCUGACAACAGCUUUUUGUUCUUUGCUGAGUUUGAGGGAUAGAACCUGUUUCACGUCGCCUGUGCUCGGCCCUGCUGUGGGACGCCAAAUGAGUUCAGAGAUUCACACUGUGCCUCCAUGGGUAACUCUCACCGUUACCUGGACUUCGUAUCUAGCUCAGAAAAAUAUGGAUCCAUAUGAACAGGAUUGUGUUAGAGCUGAUUUUCACUGGGAAAUGAAUUUAUUACUUAAUCAAUGUAGUGCACAAAAUGUGUCUGAUUUGGUGCUAUUUUUCUUUUUACUGAGAAAAAGAUCUAAAUGAUGUGGGUGUUUUUGUUUAAAGUUGAAAAGUUUGAAAUGUUUGUGUUGUAUUUUACUUUUAUUAUUCCUAUAAUCUUAAUAUAUUACAAAAAGUAAUUUAAUACUGGGUAUUGUAAUGUAGCAUUUAAAAAAAUGUUGCACAGAAAACUUUUCACAAUAUCUAAUUCUCAUCCCAAAUAAAGAUUCCAGCAAUUUUACAGUUCUCUGUUAGAAAAGAGCUAGCUGGAAAACGUUAUUCAAUUUCUCUGCUUUGCUACAGAGUAGAUCUCAAGAGCUUCACAGAGGACAUCACAUUUUCUCCCACUUUAUAAGCAGAGAAACUGAAGCGUAAUGAGUUUAAAGGGCCUUGUUUGGGCCCACUCUGCAGAGCAGAGACAAAAGUGAGAUGGGAGCUGAGGGGCUCUUAGCCCUGCUGCAGCACCCCUAAAUAGUGCUGCCCCUCAUGGGUAUAAGCUGUUAGGUAACGUGCAGAGCACAGUUAAUCAAUGGCACUGAGCCAGGAGAGAGAAGUUGAACUGUAGCAGCAGAAAGUAGUGAAAGUUAUUAAUGUUUGGGGUUUCUUUAGUGCUAAGACAUGAAUAAGCAACAAUUUGCAUGCAGCUGGUAAAUUGCUUUUGAUAAAAUUUUAGAUGUCUCAACUAUAUGAUCUAAAUGGAUGAACACCAUUAAUGCGUAUCUUAACCUUUAGGAAGCAGAAGUCCUUAGCCGUUCUUCCAGGAGUGUGCCCUAAAGUUAAAUGACCCCAGGUCCAUAUUGCUGACAGCUCUGCACUGCAGUCGUUGCUUAUUUUUAGCAAAAGGUGAUUAACUUCCCUUGUCUGAAUGAAAUAUUUCCACAGAAAACAAGGACCCUAAGGCUAAUAUUUUUACACAAGCAAGAAGAGAAAUACAUGCGACCCACGCAGGCAGCUUGCGACACAGAAACAGGGAAGAUGUGGCUCCUGGAAGGGACUGCAAACUGCCUGCGGCCAGCCGGCGGGGCGCCCCGUGGUCACGGUGCCUCGGGGCAAAUGGAGACCGUCACUCCGGUGCGAGGACGGCCGGCAGGCCGGGAGGAGGAGAGCAAUGCUGCCGGUGCCAGAGCGCGUCCCCGGGAAAAGGGUCUACAUGUGGCAGAUGCUGGACGCCACUGAAACGUGACCUGAAGUGGCUAACUACUCACCUCGGUUAUUCACCGCCGUUGCUGCCUGCGCAUCCUGUGGGGGAGCACGAGGCUAGACAUGUGGCUGCACAAGCUGAACAGCCAGCAGGUCUCAUUCCUCCUUUCUGCGACUUUCCAGCCUGAGAAAAGUGCUCAGUGGGGUGGAGCAGAAAACCCCUCUGGAGAAGGCAACCCACAGAACUGAACUUGCUCCGCCGAGGACACAUACAGGGAGGUCCUGUGCUGCAUCUCUACAAGGGACCAUGAAGGGUCCAGGGAAAGGAUUAAACUAACCGUAUUUCUUGGCACUCGCCCAAGCGAGUUCACAGACUGGAAAAAGUACCCUGGCCUAAGUAGCCUUCAGGGUUGGCUUCCCCCUGGCUUGGAGGACGUUGCAGCUGCGCUGCGUUGCUAGCGACACCUGGGCCAGCAUGGGGGUGUCUACUUGAGCUAAGCCAUUGUGUGAGAUGCAUCCCCAGCUUCAACAGCUUCCACGGGUUACUUUAGCAGCACAGCUGGCCAGCUGCAAGCCAACACAUUUCUAUGAAAAAUGCUGAAAAUCUGCUCCCUCAGUUCCUAUCCCCAGUGCACCCUUGCUUUGUCUGAGUUGGGCCUCUUUAACAAGCUGGCCCCUACCUGUGUGGUGUAACAGAGAUGAUGAUGAGCUGAAUAGCUCACCUAUAGCAUCUGCGUGCUGUGAUAAUGACCAGGACUGAGGAAAGAAAGCAUGAAAAAAUACGAAGGCGCUGUCUUUGGAAGGCAACAGAAAAUCACUACUUGUAUGGGUAAAAGCUGGGCUAAUGAAGCAGGAUAGCAAUACUGAAGUAACUACAGGUGGCUGGGGAAACCUCCUGCAGGAGACUUCAAAGUAGCUAAACUGCUUAUAUGAUGUGCUGUAAGUUGGCUUUCUGUCAUUAGAUACUCGUUAGAAGGGCUACAAGUAAAUAAGAAUGCUCAUUAUCAAAACACCUUGAGUAAAUUUGAUGUCCAGAGAUAUUUUAAGGGAAAAGAUGCUGGUGAAGCAUCAGGUACUCUUUUUCUGUUCUCUUUGAACCUAAUAUCCACAACAGGCAGGAAGCAUUAGAUGAAAACCAGGAUUUCUUCCUAGUAAAUUUUGAAUUAUCCAAUUUCCUUCUUUUAGCCUAGUUAUAUUGUACUAGAUGAUGUCCUUUUUUGCUUUAAAUUAUGGCUGAAAAGUUAUAUAAAAGAAAGAAUAGAAAGAGAAAAACAGAAGCUAAAGUACACGCCUUUGCAUUCUCUUUUGCAUGCAGAACGGGUGCAGCUAGAAGUGGCAUGUGGCUAGGUUGUGUCUCAGGGCUGCGUACAAGCGUACCUGUGCCUGAGCUUGCAUUUCCUCACAGCUGCUGGUAUACUAUGAGUUUGGGUUAUUUUCCAUGCAUACUUGCAUGUGCCUACUAAUGAAAAUCAAGCCAAAAAUCAUGUUUCUUCAGCUGGUUUUGCUUAAUUUAGCCAUUUCCGACCAUCUGAUCGCUUUGUGAAUUUUACCCUGCUCUACUUUUCCGAUUUCACCAGGCUCUAGCUUUCUCUGUCCUUUUCUCUGUAAAGCUUCCUGUUCAUCCAAAUAAAUUUUGUCUCCUGACAAUCUUCCUCUUUCUAUAGUAUUUUAGUUGUAGGUGCUAGAAGGUUUUUCUUACUGAGAACUUGAAAAGUAAAUGGAAUGUUUUUGCUCCUCUGUCUCCUUUACCUGUGGAGCACUGACCAACACAGCCUUUGGAUUCAUCUCCCAGAGAAGUUUUUUUCUAGAAAUGCUUGUUUGCAUAAGGUGCUGGAAGUGAGGAAGAGGAAUUGAAGCAGAAAAGACAGGAUGUGUAAGCAUAACACGGGACACCCCAAAAGCUGCCAUAAAAGUUACAACAGGGAGGGCAAGCUUUGGGAGGUUUGCCCUGUAAAUUGGGCCACUGUGACCCACCAGCAGGUGUGGCUGGUGUUUAUGGGAGCAGCAUAUUUUCUAUUGGGAGCACCAGUAGAAUGCAAAUGCGGAAAAAAUUGGCAGGAAGGGUAUGCUGGGGUCAAAGCCAAGAAAUCACAUCCGCCUUGGAGCUCUUAAAGCUGUGCGCUGUGGUCCAAGCAUCAGGAAGCGUCCCAGAGGGUCGGGCAGCCCUAGCAGCUCUGCAUUGCUUCAUUAGAUAGGCAGUCACUUGGCAACACUGUGUGUCCUGCUUGCGCAGCAGUAUGUUCCCUUCUUAGGUUUUGGGCAAAGUGAGGGUCAGGGAGGAAGGGAGGCAGCUUUUGAAGGGAGGGAGGGUUGUUACUUGCCCUGAGCUGUGACAGGUACUGAAAUCAGGUUGUGAAAGGUCACAGUGUAGCUUCCUGGAUAUGUCAUAGAAACAAGGCUGGCAAAGGGCUCAGGCACAGCAUCAAAAGACCUUGAACCCUUGUGCAAAUUUACCAGGGGAUGUGGAAAAGUAAACACAGAGGAGCCCAGUGAGCUCUGCAGUGGCCAGAGCUACCUCUGAAGAAGUGCUGUUCUUAACUAGAGUUGGUUGUGAAUUUUACAACCAAAUGCUUUUCACUAGAAAUUGCCUGCUCUGAUCAAACUCAGAAUUUUUCUCUGGGAUGUGUAUGUAUUGAACAAAUCUUUUUACUUUUUUCUUUUCCUUUUUCUUUUCUUGUUUUACCCUUUAUCUUUUAAGAGAGAGAGGGGAGUGCUCAUAAGGACAAAAAAGCCUAUUUGGCCAUAGUGGUCCUGCGUACAGCCAAUAGUGGGGUGAUUAGAGGCCUCCUCUGGGAUGAAGAAAGGGCCCAAGUCCGAGCGCACAGUCUGCCAGCACCAGUCCAAAGGAACAAUGCUCACUCUUUUUUUUCCUGGGCAUUUUUCUCUGUUGGGGAGUGAUAAGGAAUGUCUUUUACAGGGUUUUCUGUGAAAGCUCCUAUGCUUGGUACAGAAAAUAGUUGAUUUUAGGGAAAUGAUUGUUUCAAUUUUUACUAAUAAUUCCCCUCACAUUGGGCCAGAUAGAAUAAAUGGCUGACUUGAUAGCCCAGCGAAAAAGGCAAUCAAUACUGAAUGCUUCAACCAUUAGGCUCUUGGCUGGUUGGGAAUUUUUUGGUUUUUGCAAAGUACUUCAAAAGGUCUUGGGCUCUUUCCAGCUCAGGAUAGGGAAGACUGAAAUUUUGGAAUUUCGUGAGAUGAGGAAACUAUUUUCCACCAGACAUUAUUUCUCAGAAAAUGUGUCAGGAAACAGCCAAGGAAGCUGGAAGAACAGCUAAGCCUUCAUGUGUCAAGCUUAUUUUUAAUGGGGUCAAGGAAUGGUUGGGUUUAGUUCCCAUCGGGGUUUUAAUGCUAUGUCUACCUUACUGUGUGAGCUUCACAGAGAAUUCCCUGAAGCAUUUUCAGGCAGAAACUGUGAUUCCAAAAACCGAGCUGAAAGAUACUUCUCUUUGAGACUGGAUUGGGAAACUUUGAUACCUGGAGCUUGGAACUGGAGGAGAUUUACAGCCUGGCUGUCUAUAUCUGUGUCUGAGAUUUCACAGAACCACAGAAUAAUUGAGGUUGAAAGGGGCCUUUGGAGAUCAUCUAGUCCAACCACACCGCUCAAGCAGGUCACCUAGAGCAGGCUGCCCAGGACCCUGUCUAGAUGGUUUUGAAUACCUCCAAGGAUGGAGAAUCCACAGCCUUUCUGGACAAUCUCUCCCAGUGCUUGAACCACCCUUGUAAUAAAAAGC